UACGUAGGGGGCAAGCGUUGUCCGGAUUUAUUGGGCGUAAAAGGCUUGUAGGUGGCCACGCCAAGUCGGAUGUGAAAUCUCCCGGCUCAACUGGGAGGGGUCAUUCGAUACUGGCGGGCUCGAGGCCGGUAGGGGGAAGUGGAAUUCCCGGUGUAGUGGUGGAAUGCGUAGAUAUCGGGAGGAACACCUGUGGCGAAGGCGGCCCCCUGGUUGGAUACUGACGCUGAUACGCGAAAGCGUGGGGAGCAAACAGG
rnacentral:rRNA from 1 species